rnacentral:rRNA from 1 species
CCUACGGGAGGCAGCAGUGGGGAAUAUUGGACAAUGGGGGGAACCCUGAUCCAGCGACGCCGCGUGAGUGAAGAAGUAUUUCGGUAUGUAAAGCUCUAUCAGCAGGGAAGAAAGAAAUGACGGUACCUGACUAAGAAGCCCCGGCUAACUACGUGCCAGCAGCCGCGGUAAUACGUAGGGGGCAAGCGUUAUCCGGAUUUACUGGGUGUAAAGGGAGCGUAGACGGCGAUGCAAGUCUGAAGUGAAAGGCGGUGGCCCAACCCCCGAACUGCUUUGGAAACUGGAUGGCUGGAGUGCAGGAGAGGUAAGUGGAAUGCCUGGUGGAGCGGUGAAAUGCGUAGAUAUUAGGAGGAACACCAGUGGCGAAGGCGGCUUACUGGACUGUAACUGACGUUGAGGCUCGAAAGCGUGGGGAGCAAACAGGAUUAGAUACCCCGGUAGUC